rnacentral:rRNA from 1 species
AGUGGAUGGGGAGCAACCUAGUUGUGCGUGUGUAAAGGUAGUGCCAAGAAAAGCGAUGAUCAUGUUGAAAAUCAAUUCCCGGUACCCGAAACCGACACAGGUGGGCAAGUAGAGAAUACUAAGGGGCGCGAGGUAACUCUCUCCAAGGAACUCGGCAAAAUGACCCCGUAACUUAGGGAGAAGGGGUGCCACCGAGAGGUGGUCGCAGUGAAGAGGCCCAGGCGACUGUUUAGCAAAAACAUAGGUCUCUGCAAACUCGAAAGAGGAGGUAUAGGGGCUGACGCCUGCCCAGUGCCGGAAGGUUAAAGAAGUUGGUCAGUCUUAGGAUGAAGCUAGCGACUGAAGCCCCGGUGAACGGCGGCCGUAACUAUAACGGUCCUAAGGUAGCGAAAUUCCUUGUCGGGUAAGUUCCGACCCGCACGAAAGGCGUAACGAUCUGGGCGCUGUCUCGGAGAGAGGCUCGGCGAAAUAGGAUUGUCUGUGAAGAUACGGACUACCUGCAUUUGGACAGAAAGACCCUAUGAAGCUUCACUAUAGCUUGGAAUUGUGUUCGGGCUUCCUGUGCGCAGGAUAGGUGGGAGGCGUAGAAGGUAUUCUUGUGGGGAUACUGGAGCCAACGGUGAGAUACCACUCUCAGGAGGCUAGAAUUCUAACUUAAUUAAGGACAGUUUCAGGUGGGUAGUUUGACUGGGGCGGUCGCCUCCAAAAAGGUAACGGAGGCGUACAAAGGUUCCCUCAGACUGGUUGGAAAUCAGUCGAAGAGAGCGAAGGCAGAAGGGAGCUUGACUGCGAGAAGUACAGUUCGAGCAGGGUGGAAACACGGUCUUAGUGAUCCGACGGUGCUGUGUGGAAGGGCCGUCGCUCAACGGAUAAAAGUUACUCUAGGAUAACAGGCUGAUCUCCCCCAAGAGUUCACAUCGACGGGGAGGUUUGGCACCUCGAUGUCGGCUCAUCGCAACCUGGGGCGGAAGUACGUCCCAAGGGUUGGGCUGUUCGCCCAUUAAAGCGGUACGUGAGCUGGGUUCAGAACGUCGUGAGACAGUUCGGUCCAUAUCCGAUGUAGGCGUGAGAAUAUUGAGAGGAGCCUUCCUUAGUACGAGAGGACCGGGAAGGACGCACCGCUGGUGUACCUGUUAUGAUGCCAAUUGUAAACGCAGGGUAGCCAAGUGCGGAGAGGAUAACCGCUGAAAGCAUCUAAGUGGGAAGCCCACCUCAAGAUGAGUAUUCUGGUGUAAGGUCACGGGAAGACGACCCGUAAAUAGGCACGAGGUGGAAGUGCAGAGAUGUAUGAAGCCGAAGUGUACUAAUAGACCGUCGGCU